UGGGGAAUCUUGCACAAUGGGCGCAAGCCUGACGACGCAACGCCGCGUGGAGGAUGAAGGUCUUCGGAUUGUAAACUCCUGUUGAUCGGGACGAACCACCAUCGGGAUAACACCCCGGAGGUCUGACGGUACCGAUUGAGGAAGCCCCGGCUAACUCUGUGCCAGCAGCCGCGGUAAGACAGAGGGUGCAAACGUUGUUCGGAAUUACUGGGCGUAAAGCGCGUGUAGGCGGGCUUGUAAGUUGGACGCGAAAGCCCUGGGCUCAACCCAGGAAUUGCAUCCAAAACUACAAGUCUAGAGUGAUGGAGAGGGUAGCAGAAUUCCUGGUGUAGAGGUGAAAUUCGUAGAUAUCAGGAGGAACACCGGUGGCGAAGGCGGCUACCUGGACAUCAACUGACGCUGAGACGCGAAAGCGUGGGGAGCAAA
rnacentral:rRNA from 1 species